UCAGAGCCACUUACACGCCGGCAGCACAAUGAUAAUGUCACUGACUCUACUGCUGGCCACCCUGGGGCUCCUUGUUCAGGAUUCAUCAGGAGAAGUCAUUGUGACUCAGUCUCCUAAAGCUCAGUCUGUUGUUCCAGGACAGACUGUCUCUAUCAGAUGUAACGUUAGUCCAAGCACUGGUUACUGCUUCAGCUGGUACCUUCAGAAACCUGGAGAAUCUCCUAAACUCCUAAUUACUUGUGGUUCAACCCGUCAGUCUGGAGUUUCAGAUCGUUUCAGUGGGAGCGGAUCUGGUAGUGAUUACACUCUGACCAUCAGUGGAGUCCAGACUGAAGAUGCAGCAGUUUACUACUGUCAGAGUUUUCAUUCUCUCAGUCAGUAUGUGUUCACAUAGUGAAAAAGCGUCGUACAAAAACCUCCCUCAGCUGAGAGGAACUGAUCGCAAUCGACAGCCGCAUGGAAACUAAACGACAACAAGAUACAACUAAAACACACCUCAUAAUUACAUGAAAUUCUAAUAAUAC